GAUCCUGGCUCAGGAUGAACGCUGACGGCGUGCUUAACACAUGCAAGUCGAACGAAGCACUUACGACAGAACUUUUCGGAGGGAAGAUGUUGUGACUGAGUGGCGGACGGGUGAGUAACGCGUGGGUAACCUGCCUUAUACAGGGGGAUAACAGUUGGAAACGACUGCUAAUACCGCAUAAGCGCACGGUAUCGCAUGAUACAGUGUGAAAAACUCCGGUGGUAUAAGAUGGACCCGCGUCUGAUUAGCUAGUUGGUGAGGUAACGGGCCCACCAAGGCGACGAUCAGUAGCCGGCCUGAGAGGGUGAACGGCCACAUUGGGACUGAGACACGGCCCAAACUCCUACGGGAGGCAGCAGUGGGGAAUAUUGCACAAUGGGGGAAACCCUGAUGCAGCGACGCCGCGUGAGUGAUGAAGUAUUUCGGUAUGUAAAACUCUAUCAGCAGGGAAGAUAAUGACGGUACCUGACUAAGAAGCACCGGCUAAAUACGUG
rnacentral:rRNA from 1 species